rnacentral:rRNA from 1 species
AGCGAACGUUAGCGGCGGGCUUAACACAUGCAAGUCGAGCGAGAGAGUGACUUCGGUCAUGAGUAAAGCGGCAGACGGGUGAGGAACACGUAGGUAAUUUUCCGUUUAGUGGGGGACAACGGUCCGAAAGGACCGCUAAUACCGCAUACGUUCCUUGGGGCUUUGGCCCUGGGGAGGAAAGCUGGGCAACUGGCGCUAAAUGAGAAGCCUGCGUCGCAUCAGCUAGUUGGUGGGGUAAUGGCCUACCAAGGCGAAGACGCGUAGCUGGUCUGAGAGGAUGAUCAGCCACACUGGAACUGAGACACGGUCCAGACUCCUACGGGAGGCAGCAGUGGGGAAUAUUGGACAAUGGGCGCAAGCCUGAUCCAGCCACGCCGCGUGAGUGAUGAAGGCCUUCGGGUCGUAAAGACUCUGUGGGGAGAGACGAACCGCUGGGGUAACCCUUCUAGCAUGACGGUAGUCUCCUUAGCAAGCACC